CUGGAGCAAAUCCCCAACCCACAGGGCCAUUCAACAGAACACACAGAUACUUGUUCUCUAUGCAUGUAUAUUGGGGUUUGAAUAGGAUUUCAAAAUAAUUCACACUCAGCAUCUUCUGUUUCCAGGAUCUGAUUUGAUGACUCCCUCUUUUUCCAUUGUUUUGAUCAGAAGAUUUGGAAAGCAUGUGUGAGUGUAUAUGACAAGAACAGUCCCUGAUAUAGCUACAUAGCCACUCCAGUUGCUUAAAGUCCAAUCCACGGUCCACCUGCCUCUGAACAGAUCUCCACAAGGAUAGGCAGAUAUUAAUCAGCAGCUUCUUCAAUCCUGCCAAGUAGAGCUUGGAAGUAGCAAGAGAAGCAGAUGCAAGAUUGAAGCCUAUGAAGCAUUUCCUGAUACAGGAUUUGUCAAAAUAGAACUUCUGCUAGACAGAAACAACAAUUAAAAAGUAAUGCAAUGCACUCUAAUCAAGGGAGAAAAUGAGUCAUUCCUCCUAGAAUUCUUUAGAAGAACCAGGUGUUUUUAUCAUAAAUAGUCUACUUAACAUAUGUAAGCCAUUAUGCAUCACAAAGUAGACAGGCAAACAAGAUCAAAGUUCAAAUCUUCAACUGGUAUCCAUCAAGAGAAGCAAGGACAGAAAAUGAAGUGGAAUCAGCAUCCACAGAAUCCAGACGGAGCUAAUUCACUGAAUUGCAGAAUUGAACACCUAGUCCCCUAAACUUACUGUUGCACAAUAACAAAGAACAAACUUCAGCCAACCCCCCCUUGGAGCAGCUUUUCCAGCAUCUGAGUUUACAAUUUAUUGCAUUCUCAAUGUGUCCUCACAGUCCUCAGGAGGAUGGUUCUGGGAUCAAGGAUGACUUCUCAGGCUCCGCUCAAAGUUUGCAGUUAUGCCAAAGGAAUUUUAGAAUUACUCUCCUUUAGCUAGAGAUAAGGAAAGUAGUCGAAAAUGAAGGGAAACAUUGCACAGGAUCGAAUUGAAAUUAAAAUCCACAGAAUCUUUUCUUACAAACCAGAUUGAUCUUCUUCUUUCAAGUCAGCAAAGGGUGCACUGGGAUUCUAUGCACUCUCAUGGAUCUUCCAUAAAGGAAAGAAUAGAAAACCCAUCUUCCUUUGAGGACAGAGUAAGCACUUUUUGAUACACCCUUGAGGGCCCGAUAUAGGCUGGGGAAUAGUCAGGGUCCACAUAAGGAUAGGACAUUCUUCAGCAUCUACCCUGCAAGUGACCUUCUAGCUGCUGAGAUUUGACACAUUUUCUUUGUUCUUUUACCAGGAAGAGGAAUAUAAGGUUGUAAUAAUAUUCUCCAUCCAUCUAAGAAAUGAAUGGUACCAUGAAAGCAUUAAAAGGCACUCAAACUAAACUGAAAGCCCAGAGCCUGUAGCCAAGACAACAGUCCAAUGAAGUCUCAGAAAUCCCAAAGUUUUAUUUCUCGUGCUUUCCAUGUUUGUCUUUCUUUUUAACUUUGUACUUGAGGGUGACUUUUAAAUCUUAUCUUGCCUCUAACAUCUGAUAAAGUGUUAACAAGAUGAUACAAAGAAAUGAGAUACUGAUACUGAUAUGGCCUGCAGAGUUAGGAGGAAUGUUAUUGAGAGGGAGGACCCAAAGCAGAAGUGAAUUUGAUAGGUAGAAAGGCAAUGUGUAUGGUGGCCAGAAAUAAAGAUAAG